AAAUAGGUUUUAUUAAAAACCAGUAAUUUAGAGUUUUAGUGUUUAG
rfam:Tyto alba contig132263, whole genome shotgun sequence.